GCGGUGGUGACCAGCGACGGUGCCUAGCAGAAGAAGCUCGGCGGAGCGGAGUUUUGGAGUUCAGCGGAGGCGCUGUUGAUUGAAGCUUGCUUCCUAGCGGAGCUUUGGCCGCUGAAGAAGUGUGGCGGAUACUUGCCGCUUGUUAGCGGUGUACAGUGUACAGUGUGGCGGAGGAUUUUCCGUCGGAGGUUGGCUAGCAAUCCGUUUCCAGCGGAGGAUGGCCUACUGGAGGUAGCAGUCGAGCUUGCUGGCGGUGAAGCCUUGACUGGCGGAGCUCCUUUUGGAGAGUAGGAAGCUAGCGGA
rnacentral:lncRNA from 1 species